rnacentral:rRNA from 1 species
AUGGACACAGCAGCAGUGGCUGCCGAGGGGGAGGAGGAGAGCGUGGGGCAGCAAGAGAAGGUGUCCUUCAUGGGGCUCUUCCGGUACGCCGACGGCACGGACCUGCUGCUGAUGCUGGUCGGCACAGUGGCCGCGCUGGCCAACGGCGUCUCGCAGCCCCUCAUGACGAUCAUCUUCGGUGACACCCUCAACGCCUUCGGCGACGCCACCGGCGAUGACGUCCUUCAGCGGGUCAACAAAGUGGUUCUACAAUUUGUCUACUUGGGUAUCGGAACAACAAUCGUCUCCUUUCUUCAGGUGUCAUGUUGGACACUUACCGGUGAAAGGCAAGCGACACGCAUUCGAUCUCUAUACCUCAAAGCUGUGUUGAGACAGGAUAUAUCAUUCUUUGACCUAGAAAUGACAACUGGGCAGAUCGUUUCGAGAAUGUCCGGUGAUACUGUCCUAGUUCAGGAUGCUAUUGGUGAGAAGGUCGGCAAGUUUCAAUCACUUGUGGCUACUUUCGUUGGUGGUUUCAUUGUAGGUUUCGUGAAAGGAUGGCUUCUAUCUCUUGUCAUGUUGGCAGCCAUACCUCCAGUUGUACUUACUGGAGCAGUAGUGGCAAAAGUGUUGUCCAAAAUAUCAAGCAGACGUCAAGCAUCAUACAGUGCUGCGGGUAAUGUCGUCGAACAGACAAUUAGCGCUAUAAAAACAGUUGUUUCUUUCAAUGGGGAGAAGCAGGCCAUCACAACAUACAAUAAACUAAUACACAAAUCAUACAAGACCGCUGUUGAGGAAGGACUUACUAAUGGCUUUGGCAUGGGUUCUGCUUUCUUUGCACUCUUCUCUAGCUAUGGUUUAGCCAUCUGGUACGGUGGAAAGUUGGCUCUUACAAAAGGAUACACAGGAGGACAAGUCAUCACAGUCAUAUUGUCUAUCAUUAUUGGGGCAGCGACUUUAGGUAAUGCAGCCCCAUGUAUGACUGCCUUUGUAGAAGGACAAUUAGCAGCACACCGACUGUUCACAACAAUAAGGAGAAAACCAAAAAUCGAUCCUGAUGACAAUAAUGGUAAGCAAUUGGAAGAUAUGAGGGGAGAAGUUGAGCUGAAGGAUGUGUAUUUUAGCUAUCCAGCAAGGCCUGAGCAACUGAUAUUUGAUGGAUUCUCACUUCUCGUGCCUAGUGGCACUACAAUGGCUAUAGUUGGGGAGAGUGGGAGUGGGAAGUCAACUGUGGUUAGUCUUGUAGAGAGAUUCUAUGAUCCACAUGAUGGUGAGGUUUUAAUUGAUGGGAUCAAUAUCAAGAGUUUACAGCUUGAUUCAAUAAGAGGGAAAAUUGGUCUUGUUAGCCAAGAGCCAGUGCUAUUUAUGACCUCAAUUAAAGACAACAUAACAUAUGGCAAGGAAGAUGCAACAAUUGAGGAGAUCAAGAGAGCAGCUGAGCUCGCCAAUGCAGCAAUUUUCAUCGAUAAGUUGCCCAACGGUUAUGACACAAUGGUUGGCCAACGUGGUGCUCAACUUUCAGGGGGGCAAAAGCAAAGAAUUGCAAUUGCGAGAGCAAUCAUUAAAAACCCCAAAAUACUUCUGUUAGAUGAGGCUACUAGCGCAUUAGACGUGGAGUCAGAGAGGAUAGUUCAGGAGGCAUUGGAUAGAAUAAUGGUGGACAGAACUACGCUCGUGGUGGCACAUCGUCUAACUACUGUGAGAAAUGCUGAUUGCAUAUCAGUUGUUCAACACGGAAAGAUAGUUGAACAAGGUUCCCAUGAUGAAUUGGUGCUAAACUUGGAUGGUGCGUACUCUCAACUUGUUCUGCUACAAGAAAGUCAUAAAGAGCAUAAAAUAGACCAUCGAUUGUCUACUCCAAGGUCUAAAAGUAAAAGCUUGUCAAUGAAGCGGUCAAUUAGUGGUUCAAUAGGCAAUAGUAGUGGGCAUUCUUUCACCCUCCCCUUUGGGCUACCUAGCGCAAUUGAAUUUCCUGGAGGAAAUGAAACACUUGGGCAAAAUCAGGAAGAGCUGAAUGGUGAUGGCGAGGUCCGAAAGAAAGCUCCUAUGGUACAACUAGCACUUCUUAACAAGCCAGAGGUACCUAUUCUUCUGUUAGGAUCUCUAGCCGCAGCAGUCCAUGGAGUGCUUUUCCCAGUGUUUGGUUUAAUACUUUCGGGUGCCAUUAAAGCUUUCUAUGAGCAACCAGAUAAACUCAGAAAGGAUACUAGUUUUUGGGGUCUGAUGUGUGUUGUCAUGGGUAUCAUAUCAAUAAUCUCAAUACCAGUAGAGUUCUCCUUGUUUGGACUAGCUGGUGGCAAGCUUAUAGAACGCAUCCGAGCUUUGUCAUUUCAAAGCAUUGUGCACCAAGAAGUUGCUUGGUUUGAUGAUCCGAGAAAUUCCAGCGGAGCACUUGGUGCAAGACUGUCAAUUGAUUCUUCAAAUGUCCGACGUUUAGUGGGAGAUAACUUGUCUUUAAUGGUUCAGAUUAUCUCAAAUCUAGUUACGGGAGUUGUCAUUGCUAUCAUUGCUGACUGGAAGCUUGCUUUGAUUAUCAUAUGCGUGAUUCCACUUACUGGUAUUCAAGGUUAUGCUAAUGUGAAGUUCUUGACUGGUUUCAGUCAAGAUGCUAAGAUGAUGAAUGAAGAUGCAAGUCAAGUGGCCACAGAUGCAGUUAGUAGUAUAAGGACUGUAGCUUCUUUUUGUUCUGAAAAAAGAAUUACAAGAAUAUAUGAGCAGAAAUGUGAAGCCUCAAAGAAUCAAGGAUUCAAAACAGGAAUAGCCGGGGGCAUUGGAUUUGGUUUUUCAUUCCUGAUGUUGUACCUUACAUACGGUCUUUGUUUCUAUGUUGGAGGGCAAUUCGUGCGCCAUGGCAAAUCAAAUUUUGGUGAUGUUUUUGAGGUUUUCUUCGCACUGAUGUUAGCAACUUUGGGAGUAUCUCAAACAAGUGCAAUGGCAUCCGAUUCAAAAAAAGCAAAGGAUUCAGCUAUCUCCAUAUUUGCUUUGCUGGACCGGAAGUCUGAAAUCGACUCAAGUAGCAAUGAGGGUUUGACUUUAGACGAGGUCAAGGGCAAUAUCGAUUUUCGACAUGUCAGCUUCAACUACCCAACACGCCCAGAUGUUGUAAUAUUUAACAACUUUACCCUGCACAUUCCCUAUGGAAAGACUAUUGCACUCGUUGGAGAGAGUGGUUGUGGCAAGUCAACUGUAAUCUCUCUGCUGGAGAGAUUCUACAAUCCUGAUUCAGGUACCAUUUUAUUGGAUGGAGUGGAAAUCAAGAGCUUGAACAUCAACUGGUUGAGGAAGCAAACUGGACUAGUGAGCCAAGAGCCUGUACUCUUCAAUGACACAAUUCGUGCCAACAUAGCCUACGGAAAGGAUGAGGAAGUCAGUGAGGAGGAGCUCAUUGCAGCGGCGAAGGCAUCCAAUGCGCACGAGUUCAUAUCAAGCCUUCCUCAAGGAUACGAAACAUCUGUUGGGGAGAGAGGGAUACAACUAUCCGGUGGCCAGAAGCAGCGGGUGGCUAUCGCAAGGGCCAUACUGAAAGACCCGAAGAUACUACUACUUGACGAGGCGACCAGCGCCCUGGAUGCUGAAUCUGAGCGGAUCGUGCAGAAUGCCUUGGAUCAUGUGAUGGUUGGCAGGACCACGGUUGCCAUGGCGCACCGCCUCUCGACGAUCAAAGGCGCCGAUGUCAUUGCAGUCCUCAAGGAUGGUGCAAUUGUGGAGAAAGGGGGACACGAGUCCCUGAUGAUCAUCAAAGAUGGGGUGUACGCUUCACUAGUUGAACUUCGCUCGGCUCACCAUGAAAAUGCCUAG